UACGGAAGGGGCUAGCGUUGUUCGGAAUUACUGGGCGUAAAGAGCGCGUAGGCGGCUUAGCAAGUUGGGGGUGAAAUCCCGGGGCUCAGCUCCGGAACUGCCUUCGAAACUGGUAGGCUCGAGUCCGGAAGAGGGGCGUGGAAUUCCCAGUGUAGAGGUGAAAUUCGUAGAUAUUGGGAAGAACACCGGUGGCGAAGGCGGCGCCCUGGUCCGGUACUGACGCUGAGGCGCGAAAGCGUGGGGAGCAAACAGG
rnacentral:rRNA from 1 species